GGUAUACUCUUCUUUAUAUGACUUACAAACUCUAAUGAUGCAUUUCAUUUUUUUAAUUUCAAAUGCAAGCUUGUGUUUGGGAAUAAUAUAGUUGGCAAUUACCUGGAAAAAACUGGGGGAAAGGAUAUUAAAAUCCCUGUCCUUCAGCCGCUAGAUCUUGAGUUGUCUGUUUUCAAAUGGCACUUUGAGCAAUGAAAGGGUAGUAUUGGAAACAGUAUGAGCACGCGUAAGGUAAAGUUGAAUUGGAGGAUACAAUUAAUAAGAUGUGAAUAAUAUGAAGUGUUACAUAGGUCGGUUUGGCACAUCCUAGAGACCUAGACAAAGGCAGUUCUAAGACUUCUAGAACAUGGGUGCAUCAUUAAAGAAAGGAGCAAAAGAAGUAUUAAGUGGGAAUUCAACCCUAUUCCUUUGGGUAGAUAACUCAACAUUUAAUCAAGUCCACCAUUCAAACCUUACUAGAGCAUGGGUACCAACAGAUAAUAUUAAAUCAAUUCUUGGAAAUAUGUACAUAAAAUGCCUAGUUUGGCGGAAAGACCAUAAGUUCAUGUGCCUUUAUCAUGGGGGUAAAUCUGCCCCUGAGCCUAGAAUGGAAUUCCAACAUUAUAUCAUCACUGAAAGUGAGAAAAAAAAACAUUGCUUUGUGUGUUAGUUGUUUAAUUUUUUAUCAUCUGUACACAACUCUCGUUUUAUCCUUCAUAUUUUAAGCUGACAGCAUUUCAUUAGAUCAAGUUAUCAUCCUAGGAGAUGAAACAUUCACAUUAUGUCAUGCGUAGGAACUUGGAUAAAUAGAGUAGCGAUCCAUAUUUUCAUAAUAGCUAUAUUAGCGCGGAUCCAUGCUUGUGCAUUUAGUUGUUUUUCCUUAUGGAUAGGUAUGUCCAACCACUUUUAGAUGCAUCAGUAUAUUCCUUUGGUGAAAAUGGUUUGACUUGGUUGGGUCCACAUUGGUAUGCCUUCCUUUGUUGUGAGAGUGCUGGAACUUUAAAAUUAGUGCGAGUAGUUCACUCAACCUGUAAUGAAGUGUUCAUGAGCUUUUGGGUUUGCAUGCCCAUUAUGAUGUGUCUUGGUUGAUAAUACUCCCUCCGGUUCAAAAUACUUAGCCAUUUGCAUACCCCUAAGAAAAUACUAACUCCUAAAAGAAUAGGUAAUUUGACUAAACUAUCCCUAAUUAAAAUUUCCUAUUUAAUGAUAUCAUAGAAAAUUAGAGUGAUUCGAAAGACUUUCAGGAAUAUGUAAAUAAGGGCAAUUAUGGAAAAAAAGGUUAAUUCUUUCUUGAUUUGGUAAGUGGACGCUUAUUUUGAACCAAC
rnacentral:lncRNA from 1 species